GCCCGUUAUCGUCCGACGAUACGUCAUCUAUGUGCACUUGAUCGCAAUCCUACGGAGAAAAAAAUGUAGAUGCUGGAGAGCUUUUAUAAAAUUACAACACAGGCCAUAUUCGCAAACCAGAAAGAUUUUAUCACCUCGACAUCAUUGAAGAAAAAGUGCGUAUCUGCCAAAUUGAAUAUCAUCUCCUCCAUUCUGUAUGCCGCUUGGGAUAGGAGGAGCGGAUCCUUACGGUGCUUCGAGGCGAAUUGCCCGGUCAGCAGAGAGUGAAACACAACUAUGGUUUCGUCCAGGUCCCAAAUGAAUAUACGCUCGGGGCCGGCUUCCGUCGUGUCCGCGGAACCGAUACUGUUUCCGCUUCCGCUCUGUCUCCUUCCGCGCCUACACGGCUUCGUCGUCGCCACUGCAAAAGCAAGAACAUUUGUGAAAAUGUCAUUUGCUCAUCGAGAUAUUCAUAUUCUUUAAUCUCAUUAUAUGAGAACAAAGAAAUUUCAUUUACGAGAGAUAGAGAGAAAGAGGAAGUAAGAGAAAGCGCGUGAUUUAAUAAAAGAACUUACCAGCAAAGUUGAUGUUGCCGAUGUUGAAAGAGGCCGGCGGUGCGUGGUAACCGGGUACAGGAUAAU